rnacentral:rRNA from 1 species
AUUGAACGCUAGCGGCAGGCCUAACACAUGCAAGUCGAACGAGUGGCGGACGGGUGAGUAAUGUCUGGGAACCUGCCUGAUAGCGGGGGCUAACUACUGGAAACAGUAGCUAAUACCGCAUACCAUCAGAUGUUCCCAGAUGGGAUUAGCUUGUGGGUGGGGUAACGGCUCACCAAGGCAACGAUCCCUAGCUGGGUUGAGAGGAUGACCAUCCACACUGGAACUGAGACACGGUCCAGACUCCUACGGGAGGCAGCAGUGGGGAAUAUUGGACAAUGGGCGAAAGCCUGAUGCAGCCAUGCCGCGUGUAUGAAGAAGGCCUUCGGGUUGUAAAGUACUUUCAGCAGAGAAGCGGUACCCGCAGAAUAAGCACCGGCUAACUCCGUGCCAGCAGCCGCGGUAAUUC